rnacentral:rRNA from 1 species
CACGUAGUUAGCCGGUGCUUCUUCUGCAGGUACCGUCACUUUCGCUUCUUCCCUGCUGAAAGAGGUUUACAACCCGAAGGCCUUCAUCCCUCACGCGGCGUCGCUGCAUCAGGCUUUCGCCCAUUGUGCAAUAUUCCCCACUGCUGCCUCCCGUAGGAGUCUGGGCCGUGUCUCAGUCCCAGUGUGGCCGGUCGCCCUCUCAGGCCGGCUACCCCGUCGUCGCCUUGGGUGAGCCGUUACCUCACCAACUAGCUGAUAGGCCGCGAGUCCAUCCCAGACCGAAAACUUUCCAGACGGUAGAGAUGCCUCUCCGUCUCGUAUCCGGUAUUAGCUCCGGUUUCCGGGUUAUUCCAGAGUCUGGGGCAGGUUACUCACGUGUUACUCACCCGUUCGCCACUGAUCACCCAAGAGCAAGCUCUCGAGGUCACCGUUCGACUUGCAUGUGUUAAGCACGCCGCCAGCGUUCGUCCUGCGCAGGAUCAAACUCU